rnacentral:rRNA from 1 species
GACGAACGCUGGCGGCGUGCUUAACACAUGCAAGUCGAGCGGGGUCCAACCUGUCGCAAGACAGGGGAAGACCUAGCGGCGAACGGGUGAGUAACACGUGAGGAACCUGCCCCGAAGACCGGGAUAACACCGGGAAACCGGUGCUAAUACCGGAUGCCCUCAGAGAGUCGCAUGGCUCAUUGAGGAAAUGGAUUCCGCUUCGGGAGGGUCUCGCGGCCUAUCAGCUUGUUGGUGGGGUAACGGCCUACCAAGGCUCCGACGGGUAGCUGGUCUGAGAGGACGACCAGCCACACUGGGACUGAGACACGGCCCAGACUCCUACGGGAGGCAGCAGUGGGGAAUCUUGCGCAAUGGGCGAAAGCCUGACGCAGCAACGCCGCGUGCGGGACGAAGGCCUUCGGGUUGUAAACCGCUUUCAGCAGGGACGAACAUGACGGUACCUGCAGAAGAAGCCCCGGCCAACUACGUGC